ensembl:lncRNA
CCUGGAAUGUGACAAAAGGUCGCAAAGUUCAAGGGGGCCGAAUACUUUCGCAAGGCACUCUAUCUUUAACUUCUAUACCUACUUGUUAGAUUUUUUUUAAUAAGUUAAUUAUCCUGUAGGUCACAUCCUAUCCUAGAACACAAUUUACCCAUCCCCCUUUGUUACCUGGCUCUGCCCAGGUAACAACCUUGCCUACUCUAAACAAUGACUUAGGUAAGAUUAGUAAAUUAUCCUUAUGUCUGACAUCAUCAUGUAGGAGCCCCUUUCAUUUUCCACAUGUCCAAUUCUCCCUUGGGCAUCCAUUCAUGUCAAUCCUGUACCAAUUCUCUGUCAAGUUUCUUAUCUACUUUAAGAACGAUUUAAACCGUAACCCUUUUCUCUCAUAUCUCUCAAAUACCACUAAGCUUCUGUUUGACUUUAUCUAAAGUCAUUGAUUUUAGAAAAAACAUGUCUAUGAGUGGCAAUCUCUAAAGUCCUUACAUUUACUUAAUCAAUCUAUCUUAAUCCUAACAAUAAUCCUAAAUCAUCACAGAUGUCCUAUAUUCCUGUUAAAUUUAAUACUAUUUAAAAAACCUCCUAAUAGUCAAACAAAGUCUAACCAUAUCAAAAUUCUUCCUAUACUAACAAGUUCUUUCCUUCAGGGACCCUCAGUAUUCUGACAAUAACAUGAAUUUAAUAUAUGUUGCAAAGUGUGGAAUACCUUAUCUACAGUAAUUUAUCACCCCUAAGAACUGAAACUUAUUUUUCUAUGUAAUUCCCUGCCCUAUUGGCUUAAUAUAUCUCCUAUCCAAACCUCAAUGUAUCUUAUCUUCCCCUAUUUAUUCUCAAUGAUAAAUAGGAUUUUUUUCUCUGUUAUAAUACCAAAUCAAUAAUAGCCCAUUCAAAAAACUUCACAGCUAAUGUUGUAAAACAGAAUCCUGAACAACUUUCUCAUUUGCGGUUUAAACAAUAAUUCUAACCCCAAACUAAAACUCCAUUAUAAUUAAUUUACCUUAAAACUAAUAACCCAAAUGACCACAUUCAUGAUACAAAUGACUCUCCCCUGAGGCUGAUCAGACCUCAAAAGAUAGCCAUGAUAAGGUCAAUAGGUCAUACCACCCUGAUUAAUCAAAACUUCCAGGCAUUUUCCAAUUUGGUCGUUUAUGGCCUCACUCUCCCCAAGAUUAUAAUCCCAGGAAACCUCUAAAAGUGAGACACGUAAACAUCAAUUUUCCCAGAAGAACACAACACGCCUAACUAGCAUUCACUAUGCUACUUCGAUUCAGAAACUCAAAAGUGAACUAUAAACUAAACCUAAUGAUAAUUCCCCUUUAACUCAAAUCAUUAAUCAUAAAUUUUAAACAACGUCAAUGUAUAUGUUUACUUAAAUGAACAUGCUACCCUUAGAUACAAUUAACCUGAUAACAUUAUUAUCCAAUGUAUUACUUUUUCCCUCUGCCACAAAUGUCGUACAUUUCUCAGUGUAAGAAAUCCGUAAUUUAAUCCCAGAUUUUUAAUAAAAAUGUAAAUGU